rnacentral:rRNA from 1 species
AAGAAUUUAAAAGUCGAACAGACUUAUUAAUUAAAAUUUUGCACCUAAUAAUAAUCUUAAUUCAACAUCGAGGUCGCAAACUAAUUUUAAAAUUUGAACUUAAAAAAUUAAUUACG